rnacentral:rRNA from 1 species
AUUGAACGCUAGCGGCAUGCCUAACACAUGCAAGUCGAACGGCAGCGCGAGGAGCUUGCUCCUUGGCGGCGAGUGGCGGACGGGUGAGUAACGCGUAGGAAUCUGCCUAGUAGUGGGGGACAACUCGGGGAAACUCGAGCUAAUACCGCAUAAUCUCUACGGAGCAAAGUGGGGGACCUUUUGGCCUCACGCUAUUAGAUGAGCCUGCGUCAGAUUAGAUUGUUGGUGGGGUAAUGGCCUACCAAGUCGACGAUCUGUAGCUGGUCUGAGAGGAUGACCAGCCACACUGGGACUGAGACACGGCCCAGACUCCUACGGGAGGCAGCAGUGGGGAAUAUUGGACAAUGGGCGAAAGCCUGAUCCAGCAAUGCCGCGUGUGUGAAGAAGGCCUUCGGGUUUGUAAAGCACUUUCAAUAGGGAAGAAAAGCCAAAGAUAAUACCUUGGAAAUUGACGUUACCUAUAGAAGAAG